rnacentral:rRNA from 1 species
CUAACCUAUGGACGGGGAUAACCUCGGGAAACUGAGAAUAAACCCCGAUAGAUCAUAAUGCCUGGAACGGUUUAUGGUUCAAAUGAUUCGUCGCCGUAGGGUGGGACUGCGGCCUAUCAGCUUGUUGGUGAGGUAAUGGCCCACCAAGGCUAUUACAGGUACGGGCUCUGAGAGGAGAAGCCCGGAGAUGGGUACUGAGACACGGACCCAGGCCCUAUGGGGCGCAGCAGGCGAGAAACCUUUGCAAUGUGCGCAAGCACGACAAGGUUAAUCCGAGUGUUUCCUGUUAAAGGAAUCUUUUGUUAGUCUUAAAAUCACUAUUGAAUAAGGGGUGGGCAAGUUCUGGUGUCAGCCGCCGCGGUAAAACCAGCACCUCAAGUGGUCAGGAUGAUUAUUGGGCCUAAAGCAUCCGUAGCCUGUUCUGUAAGUUUCCGGUUAAAUCCAUUAGCUCAACUAAUGGGCCGCCGAAAAUACUGCAAAACUAGGGAGUGGGAGAGGUAGACGGUACUCGGUAGGAAGGGGUAAAAUCCUUUGAUCUAUUGAUGACCACCUGUGGCGAAGGCGGUCUACCAGAACACGUUCGACGGUGAGGGAUGAAAGCUGGGGGAGCAAACCGGAUUAGAUACCCGGGUAGUCCCAGCUGUAAACGAUGCAGACUCGGUGAUGCGCUGGCUUGUGGC